rnacentral:lncRNA from 1 species
CCAGCACAUCACCAUCAUACAGAGCUUUCAGGACGACUGGGACCUCCUUCAGGGCCUCAGGGCUGCACUUGCCACCGAAAGACUCGAUGGCCUGGACCAGCAGGGUCUGGGCACCCUCAUCAGGCACAGCAGCAGCAAGGUACUUCUUGUUCUUCACCACCUCUUUUGCAAAUCCCUUGCCCACACCAUCAAAGAGAGCAUCAAGAAGAGCAUUCAUCACGUCCUGGGGCGGGAGUGUUGAGGAUGCCAGCACAGCCUUGAGCUGUGUAGGUGUAGGAGCACUUCCCAAGCUAGCCUUGAUGUCUCCAACCAGUUCAUCAUAGGGGCUGGGCUUAAUGACAGCUGGCUCAGAGAUCUCUUGGGCUUUCGCAGAACCAUUAGCAGUGGUUUCUUUGUGGGUCGCC